rnacentral:rRNA from 1 species
UUACACAAAUAUGAAGGCGGGCUGGAAUCUCUCGGGGUUACAGCCUUGCUGAAUUAUUCACCCUUGUCUUUUGCGUACUUCUUGUUUCCUUGGUGGGUUCGCCCACCACUAGGACAAACAUAAACCUUUUGUAAUUGCAAUCAGCGUCAGUAACAAAUUAAUAAUUACAACUUUCAACAACGGAUCUCUUGGUUCUGGCAUCGAUGAAGAACGCAGCGAAAUGCGAUAAGUAGUGUGAAUUGCAGAAUUCAGUGAAUCAUCGAAUCUUUGAACGCACAUUGCGCCCUUUGGUAUUCCAAAGGGCAUGCCUGUUCGAGCGUCAUUUGUACCCUCAAGCUUUGCUUGGUGUUGGGCGUCUUGUCUCUAGCUUUGCUGGAGACUCGCCUUAAAGUAAUUGGCAGCCGGCCUACUGGUUUCGGAGCGCAGCACAAGUCGCACUCUCUAUCAGCAAAGGUCUAGCAUCCAUUAAGCCUUUUUUCAACUUUUGACCUCGGAUCAGGUAGGGAUACCCGCU